ensembl:lncRNA
AUAAUAAGUCAUUUAAUGUACAGUCUUCCAUCUCAACAAACUUAUGUAACUGUGUUUUGUCUUUUAAAAGGCAGAACAGUUCUUGGUGCAUUCUGAGAUGCUCUUCUCGGGUUACAAGCCCCAGUUUGGUUUGAAUACCGUUUUCUAUUUCUUUCUUAGAUCGACUGAUUAAUUUUUAUGUUGACAGUUGCCAAUUUAGAGUACUCCUUAUUAAAAUGCAAAUCCUCUUGAAAAUUUGAAAGACUUGCUGACCUUGGGCCUGCAGCCCCAGCUGGCAACAAAGCGAAAUCAUACUGCGUAGGCUUGUAGCCUUCCAUUUUCUGCCAUUCCCACUGGUCCUCUUAAUUUGCACACGUUAGCUGGCACUUAUCAACAACCUUGUGCUGUGGUUGUUUGUAGAGCAUAUUAAGAGAACAUGAAACAUGCUAUUAAAACUGGGAAGAUGAAAUACAGCAUCAGAAGUCUUUGUGCUUCAAGAAAAAUAGCAAAGAGCACACUGCAGCCAGUUCUGUUUUUACCUGCUCUGUCCUCAUGAGCAUUGGACCCCUAACCUCUAGUUUAGGGAACAUCACAACAAUCUCUUUACUGCUGUUAAAGCUGAAUGUAGACAUUUUAUGAAAGACAAUAGAAGGAUCAUCAAAUUAUGGGAAAAAAAAAAAAGGCCUUAAAUGAUGUUGUGGACUGAAUUGCGUUCCCUCAAAAUUCAUUUGUUUCAGCCCUAAACCCACUGUAACUCUGUUUGGAGAUAGGGCCUUUAAAAAGGUAAUUAAGGUUAAGUGAGAUCAUAAGGGUAGGGUCCUAAUCCAAUGACACUGGUAUCUGUAAGAGGAAAAGACUCCAGGGGAACAGAUGCACAGAAAAAAGACAAUGUGAGGACACAGCAAGAGAGCCAUCUGUAAGCCAAGGAGGGAAACCAAUCCUGCCAACACCUUGGACUUCUGGCCUCCAGAAGUGUGAGAAAAUAAACUUUUGUUAAGAUACCCAGUGUGUGGUAUUUUGUUGUGGCCGUCCUAGAAAACUAACACAAGCAUUUUUUGUUUGUGUGGCCACACCUUUGGCAUGCAGAGGUUCCCGGGCUAGGGAUGGACCCCCAAGACACAGCAGUAACCAGAGCCACAGCAGUGACAAUGCCAGAUCCUUAGCCACUGAGCCACUAGGAAACUCCCAAGCAUUUUAAUAAGAUUUAUUUUUUGGACUUAGGCAAUAGAAACCAUCAGGGCAGGACUAAGAGACAAAAACAUUUAGAAAGGAAAGAAAAAGUCCACCUGCAAAGAGGUCAAGAGUCAGACUUUGGAAAUCAGAUUGUUAUGAUCAUUAUACAACUACAGAUGUGAUAAAUUCAUUUGAGUAAUAAAAAAAAUUUUAAAAAAAGUCAGACUUUGGGGAAAACACACACACAUACACACAAAUAUUUGAAAUGGUGAAGAGCAGUUGUGUUUGUGUGUGUUGGGGGGGGCAGGUACAAAAUGGCUGAGGUUAGCAGGUGUACAUUGACCUGUUCAUGGUGGAAAAACUGUAACUUAAUCACAUGAUAAUCAUAAUUUCAAGUCCUGACGCAGCUUCAAAGAAUGGUCUAGCAAAAGUCAUUUUUUCAUUAGGCAUUUAGGUUUACAUAAAACAUUCAAGUUUUUAUUACUUCGAGGACCAGAACUAGUGUGAGCAUAACCCUAUUGUUUUUUAUUUAUUUUAAGGUAUAGAGCAUUUUGAUUUUUGACUCUUUUUUAUUUGGACAGCUCUGACCAGACCACAAAACAAUACCUCUCUCCAUCUCUCACAUACACACAAGUAACUCUUGAAGAAACUAACUUAAAUCCAGUGGUUAAAGGGAGACAGAAAUGAUUACUCUACUUAUCCCAACUCAGGGUCACUAAAAACUUGAAGUUAGAAUGCAUUUCAAUUGGAUUUGGAAAACAUAACGCCUUGGUGCGGUCCUUCUGUAUUCUUGCCACAAGAUGGCAGAAGAGGGCAAUGCUUCUUAUUUCACCCACCCAAGUUAAUUCUUCUAAAGAUCUCUUAACAGUUAAAAAACAUAAAACAAACAAACAUACAAACAAAAACAAAACAAAACACCUAUCUCGGAAAGAGACUAAAUAAUAAAAAGAGGGGAUGAAUAUGAUGCCAAUGAGUUCAGCAUGAAAUUAGGGGAUUGCUUUCCACCAAGUAGGGUAUCUUGUCAGUGGGUUCUUUUGCCGGCACCCAAGGCCUAAUGUCAGAGGUGCAGAAACUGGGAACAGAGUCUCAUUUUAGCGGAGUGAGUAACAAACCCAUAUAUUUUUCACAAUCCAUUAACCUGUUGGCAUGACUUCCGGGAGGCUUGUUACCUGGGACAGGGAUAAGACUGUUCCUCUGAGAUAGAGUCUAAACCCACAACUUUAAGGGAAGUGACAAUAGGGAAAGACAGGAAAUGUUGCAGCCUGGAGUAGGGUGUGAAUGUAGGAGCUUGUUACUUGCUGUUAGUGGGGAAAAUAUAUAUAUAUAUAUUUACAAUAGCAAUCAUUUUCUGGUGAGAGGGGAUGACAGGGCAGCAGAGAAUGUUAAUGCUUUGAACUGCAAAAAAGAAUUUAGGCACUAUUGAAAGAUUCAGGGAAGUGGGGAAGUGAAGGACUUUUGAUCAUGCCUUGAAAGAUUCCAUUUCCUAAUAUUCCUAGCUAGCCCAUGCUAGUAUACAAUCUUCUCUUAAAUACUGAGUUCUCCGCCUUCUAUGGCAGGAUUUUUAAUCGUUGACUCAAAGCACCGUUAGAAAAUUGUUCUCCCAGCCUAGCGAGUCCUGCCUACCUCCCUUCCAGCGUCUCCUGAUGAAACACUGGAAGAACGCCGCUUUCCCAAGUUGCCGAGUUCCUUGUUCAACAUUUUACCCUUAAGGAACUUACUUCCCUGAUCUUUGUUCCCGUUGCACUUUGCAUUAUAUCGUUUCAAUUCACCUAGAAUCUCCAUAGACAGGGCUAAUGUCACAGUACCAAUUCGGUAGUGGAUGGGAACCAGACACAGAACACGGAACCGUUCAUUUUCACCCUUAUGACUCUUGGCUCCAGAGCCUGGUGCAUUCCAUUCCCUCAGUAGAAGCAAGGUAAGAUUUUACUUUCUAAAGAAUCUCUUCAAAACUCACAACCCCGAUAGUAGACAAUCUAGCCAAUCACAGCCCAUGGCGGGCUUUUCAAACAGUGCUGCUGCCCAAUCAGAGACGGGGGGACGUUACUUUCCUUGAAAAGUGUAAACAAACGCGAAAUUUUGGCUUUUGUAAGAGGACAAAACAGAAUAUCUUUUUCAAAGGGCGUCGAAGAACCCAUUCCAAAUUUGCAUGACACUGAGCCCAAAUGCUUAGCCAAGACAGCUUCAGAGGAGGGCCCUUUAAAUUUUUACCCAGUUUUCCGCUCCCAAACCGGCCCCUUACUCUUGCAAGAGAAACUAUAGGCAAAUGCACCAGCACCACCUGUUUCUCUGAAAGGGUAGGUGGCUCUGAAAAGAGCCUUUGGGUCGGCCAUGGGUGGCUCACUUGGCACUGGUGUACUUGCUGACAGGCUUGGCGCCCUCAGACACAGCAUGUUUGGCCAUCUCCCCGGGAAGCAGCUGGCGCACGUCCAUCUGGAUGCCCGAGAACGUAAUGGUCGAGCGAUUUUUGUAAUGCGCCAGGCGCGAUGCCUCGCCCGUGAUGCGCUCGACGAUGUCGUUAACGAAAGAGUUCAUGAUGCCCACGGCCUGUGUCCGGGUAGACCUGCUUCAGCACCUUGUACACGUACACUGAGUAGCUCUCCUUGCGGCUGCGCCUGCGCUUCUUGCCGUCCUUCUUCUGCGCCUUGGUCACCGCCUUCUUGGAGCCCUUCUUGGAGCUGGGGCAGAUUUAGCUGGCUCAGGCAUGGUAAAGAAAAAACCCUUGAGAAACAAUAAAUGAGGACAAGGACGGUCGAAUCCUUUUUACCUACAAAUCCGCAGGCAAACGCGAUACAGUAAAGUUCUAGGUCUGAUUGGCCAAAACUAGUGAUGACGUUAUGUGAAUAUUGUCCAAUAAGAACACUCAUUAUUAGGAAGCGCUUUUUUUUUUCUUGUUUAAAAAUGGGAUUGCAAUCUUAGCCAAUGGAAAUGCGGAUUUUUCGCUCCCAGUUGCAGCUAUAAAUUGUGAGUUUCUCUUCUUGCUCCUUAGUUACUACUGGUGUAGAUUCUGGUUGCUACAUCAUGUCCGGACGUGGGAAGCAGGGAGGUAAAGCUCGCGCCAAGGCCAAGACCCGCUCCUCGCGAGCCGGGCUCCAGUUCCCGGUGGGCCGAGUGCACCGCCUGCUCCGCAAGGGCAACUAUGCCGAGCGGGUUGGAGCUGGGGCGCCGGUGUACUUGGCGGCGGUGCUGGAGUACCUGACGGCCGAGAUCCUGGAGCUGGCGGGCAACGCGGCUCGCGAUAACAAGAAGACGCGCAUCAUCCCGCGCCACUUGCAGCUGGCCAUCCGCAACGACGAGGAGCUCAACAAGCUGCUGGGCAAAGUCACCAUCGCUCAGGGCGGCGUCCUGCCCAACAUCCAGGCGGUGCUGCUGCCCAAGAAGACCGAGAGCCACCACAAGGCCAAGGGCAAAUAAGGCCUUAAUUCAUACUUCAACCUCAAAGAACAAAGGCUCUUUUCAGAGCCGCCCACCAUUUCUGUGGAAGAACUGAGCACUUUUGUAAAACCUGCCACGAAUACCUGGUUAAGUUUACAGUAUGUAAAAAACGUAGUUUUCCUUUGGAACUGACCAGGCACGUGUUGACUUUUAAGGUAGAGGCCUGUUUGAAGUUUACUCAAUUGCAAACCCAUGAACUCACCCGCCUUUAUUGUCUCCCCGGGACGCAUUUGGGGUGAUUACUUGCUCCAGCAAAUGUACUAAACCAUUUUUAAAAUUUGUCUCACUGGAACCCAGUGGUCCAUUGGCCAACUAAAACUCCACACUCAAAAGCUCUUUUCGAAAGAGCAUUUAUAGGAAAACACCUAAUCACUAGUCAGUGUAAACCUCUCUUCCCUCAGGCCUGCUGAUAAGUACACAAUUUACAUGUUAAAGUCCAAUCAGCCGUUUAAUUGCAUCACAACCCAUUAAUGAGUUGAGAUAAUCACUAGUAUUUAGUCAAGCCCACAUCAAGUAUCCUCCCUUCCCUACACAACGCUGUAGCCCAGUUCUGUGUUCAGGUGCGAGAGUGUAUAUUGACUUUACUUUGAAUUAUUUGGUACAUUCAUUAAAAACAGAUUUUGAUGUAGUGAAAUGGAACUACUUUUUAGAGAAAAUGAUGAAUACAUUAUUCUGCUCUAAUUUUCUCCCAUAUCAAUCUGUAAGGGGGGGGUCUCCACUGAAAAUGCAUUUCUUUUAUAAAAAUUUAGGCGCUGACCGCCACAAAUUGUGGAUCAAAUUCCCUUUCUCCUCUGGUGAAAUCUUAACGUUUGGGUCGAAAACCGUAAACUCAGACAGGAGAGUACAGCUAUAAUUCCUUACUGUAAAAAUAGAAAGUUAAAAACAUUACGGAAAGUAAAACCUUUUUAGAGGCAGUAAGAACCAAACGAAGAUUGGACCAAAAACCAAUCAGGUUACUCCUGCAACAGUUCUGACCAAUCAGGAUUGGAUCAUGACUAUAAAGUCUGGUCCUGGCAUCAGUCCUCUAUUGCUUCUUUCGCGGCGUCAGAUCUCUCUCUAUGGCUCGUACCAAGCAGACCGCUCGCAAGUCCACCGGCGGCAAGGCGCCGCGCAAGCAGCUGGCCACCAAGGCGGCCCGCAAGAGCGCGCCCGCCACCGGCGGCGUGAAGAAGCCGCACCGCUACCGGCCCGGCACGGUGGCCCUGCGCGAGAUCCGGCGCUACCAGAAGUCCACGGAGCUGCUGAUCCGCAAGCUGACACCAACCUGUGCGCCAUCCACGCCAAGCGCGUCACCAUCAUGCCCAAGGACAUCCAGCUGGCUCGCCGCAUCCGCGGGGAGAGGGCGUAAAGUUGUCCUUCCUAAUUUGCCUUGGACGUAUUCGCUUUCUCCCUCCCAAAAGGCUCUUUUAAGAGCCACUUUCUGUUCUCACU